UUGGUGAAUAUCAAUCAGCAUUCACGCGUAUCACCCUUUGGUUUUCUCUGUGCAACACAACUUCAUUUUCCACAGAGCAAAAAAAAUGGCCGAAAUAUUCCUUGGUGCUUUCGUUAACGUGCUAGUUGAUAGGUUAGCAUCCGGCGAUCUGUGGAACUUUGCACGUACGGAGCGGAUUGGUACUCAGCUGACGAAAUGGAGCAGCAUGUUGGCACAAGUUCAGGCGGUGGUUGCGGAUGCUGAGGAGAAACAAAUCACGAAUCUGGGUGUUAAUUUGUGGCUCUCUGAUCUUGAAGACUUGAGUUAUGAUAUGGAUGACUUACUGGAUGAGUUCGCUACCGAAGCUUUGCGACGGAAGGUGAAGGAAGAGCAUCGAGCUAGCACUAGCACGGUACGUGCACUCAUACCUAAUUGCUGCACAAGUUUUAAUCCAAGCAUGUUAGUGUCUGAUUUUAGAAUGAGGUCCGAGAUGAACGAGAUCAGUACAAGGUUGCAAGACCUUUUUAAUCGGAGAAUGGGGCUUGGCUUGAAAAACAUUGCUGCAGGGUGGUGUGGUCAAGCUUCACAAAGACAACCCACUUCGCCUUUGAUAAUUGAGCCUUGUUUGUAUGGUAGGGAUAAUGAUAAAAAUGCGAUAAUAGAGUUGCUCAUGAGUGAACAGUCUGGUGAUAACAAAGUUGGUGUAGUCCCGAUUGUGGGUAUGGGUGGGGUCGGCAAGACCACCCUUGCUCAGAUGGUCUAUAAAGAUGAGAUGGUAGACAAGCAUUUUGAGAUGAAAGCAUGGGUCUGUGUAUCAGAAGUGUUUGACAUUGUUGGAGUGACAAAAGCGAUUCUUGAGUUUGUCACUUCCAAGACCUGCGAGUUUAAAGCCUUGGCUCAAGUGCAAGUUGAGCUACAAAAGGCUUUGGCCGGGAAAAAGUUCUUGAUUGUUCUUGAUGAUGUGUGGAACAAAAACCAUGGUGACUGGAGUAGUUUAAAGAGUCCUUUCAAUGAUGGGGCCCCGGGAAGUAAAGUCAUUGUAACAACACGCAAUAGUGAUGUUGCAUUUACAAUGGCUGGACCCAAUAAAUAUCACUCCCUAAAGGAACUAUCCGAGGAUGAGUGUUGGUUAGUGUUUGCACAACAUGCAUUUGAGGGUAGAAGUAUGGAUGCAAAUCAAAAUUUGGUUUCAAUUGGUAAGGAAAUUAUGAAAAAAUGUAAAGGUUUGCCUUUGGCAGCUAGGACACUUGGUGGCCUUCUACGGUGCAAGUUGACCGAUGAUGAAUGGAAAGGAGUAUUAAAAAGUAAAAUAUGGGAGUUAUCAGAAGAGGAAAGUCACAUUCUUCCAGCUUUGAGAUUAAGUUACUAUCACCUCCCUUCGCAUUUGAAGAAGUGUUUUGCAUAUUGUUCCAUUUUGCCCAAGGAUUACGAAUUUGAGGAGGAGGAAAUAGUUUUCUUGUGGAUGGCAGAAGGCUUAGUUCCGAAGCAAACAGGGGAAAGGCAAAUGGAAGAUCUUGGUUGUGAGUACUUCCAUGAAUUGUUAUCAAGGUCAUUUUUUCAACGAUCAAGUAGUGGUGAACUAUUUGUUAUGCAUGACCUCAUCAAUGAUUUGGCUCAGUUUUUUGCAAGAAAAACUUGUUUUAGGCUGGAGGAAAUUGAAAAGCUGAAAGAGAGUGAAGGAGAUGAAAGUAUCAGUAAAGCUCGACAUUCAUCCUACUCACGUGGGUAUAGUGAUGGCAUAAAGAAGUUUGAGGCCUUUCACAAAGCCAAAAAUUUGCGAACUUUUUUACCAUGUGGGUCUAGAUAUCAAGAUAAGUCCUACUUGACUAGCGAUGUUCCCCUUCGUCUGUUACCGAGUCUCAAACGUUUACGUGUGCUUAGUUUGCAAAGAUAUCUAAUAGGUGAACUUUCCAAUUCGAUUGGGGAUUUGAAGCAUGUGAGGUACCUUGACCUUUCAUGUGCCUUGGUUUUAAUGUUACCAGAAUUAAUAGGCACUCUUUACAACCUACAAACGCUAAUUUUGAGAGAUUGUAAAAAUCUUAAGAAUUUGCCUGCAAACACUAGCGACUUGAUUAGUUUGCGUCAUCUCGAUGUUACUGGUGCAGAUUCCUUGCAAGAAAUGCCACCAAAAAUUGGAAAAUUGAAAAGUCUCCAAACUUUAUCAAACUUCAUUGUUGGCAAUGGCAACGGGUCCAUGAUAACUGAGCUGGGCAGCUUGAUUCAUCUUAGAGGGACACUUAGCAUAUCAGGGUUGAAGACUGUGACAAAUGCUCCAGAUGCGAGGAGGGCCAACUUGAAGGAUAAACAAGGUUUAAAUGUGCUAAGGAUGGAGUGGAGUAACAUCUCGGAUAAUUCUCACAAUGAAAAUGUUGAAUCACAAGUGCUUGAUAUGCUAGAGCCUCACAAGAACUUAAAAGAGCUUUCCAUUAAUGGUUACGGUGGCUUCACAUUCCCAAAUUGGAUUGGGAAUUCUUUGUUCUCCAACAUUGUCUGCUUGAAGUUCCAAAAUUGUGAAAAAUGCACUUCCUUGCCACCUUUGGGGCAGUUACCCUCGCUUGCAAAACUCUACAUUCAAGGAAUGAAGGCAGUAGGUAAUGUUGGACUUGAGUUUUAUGGCUUGGGUCCCGCAAAUCCUUUCCCAGCUCUGGAGAUUUUAUCCUUCAAAGACAUGCCCGAAUGGAAUGAGUGGACUCCUUUUGGAGUCGAGGAGGGAGCUCAAGCAUUUGCUCGCCUAUCAGAGCUCUCCAUUGAAAGAUGUCCCAAGCUUUCGCACGAGUUGCCAAGAAAUCUUCCUCGGCUGAGAAAUCUGGAUGUGAAGGAGUGCCCGGUGUUGGUGGUUGCAUGGAUCCCAAGCCCUUCAAAGCUGAAUGAUGUGUGGAAUACGCUUCACUUUGACUCACUCGUGUCCUUGUGUCUAAAAGAUGUUUCGAUUGCCGACUCAUUGGGUAGUUCAGAAGUUGGUGAUCAAGUAGUGCUCAAAAACUCAAGCCAUAGCCUCUUGAACUCGCUGACUUCCCUCGAAAUGGGAAAUAUUCGGGGUCACACAUGCCUACCCAGUUGGGUUUUUCAAGGGCUGACGGGAAUCCAAGAGUUAUUUCUCUGGCGUUUCGAAGAACUCACAACAUUGUGGGACGACGAGGUGAGACUACAAAACCGUCUCCCUGCCCUCCGAUGUCUCACUAUUGAUGGUUGCCCCCAACUUAUUUCCUUGUUUGCAAGAGAAGAAGGAGAUAACCUCAAAUCUCUUCAAGAGCUUUCCAUCUUACACUGUCCACGCCUCAUCUCUUUCCCUGUCUUGCCGUCUACGCUGAAAGAGCUGCAGAUUUAUGACUGUGAUGGGCUGGUGUCCCUACCUGAUUUGACGUUGCUGAAUAAUCUUGAGAAGCUGUGUAUUGAUUGCUGUCCAUCCCUGCCGUACUUAAGUUCCGGAAGUGGGCUCCCGCCCGCUCUCAAAAAACUGCAGGUUACUUGGUGUGCAGAACUAAAUUCGCUAAUAGCAGAUGAGGGGAUUAAGAUCAAUUGUCCGUCUCUUGAAUCUAUUUUUAUCUAUCAGUGUGAGUGCCUCAAAACCCUACCAGAUGUCAUGCAAAAUAAUAAUGGUCUCAAGAAUCUCAGUCGACUGGUGAUAUAUGGGUGUGGUAAUCUGGAGUCCCUUCCGGAAGGAUGGUUUCCCACAACCAAUUUCAGGUAUUUUGAUAUCUAUAGCUGCGAGAAACUCGAGCACCUUCCAAACCACGCGUACAACAACAACCGCCUCGCUUCUGUUGUAGAGCUGUCCGUACGUGGUUUUCCUGCGGGUACAGGACUCCUCUCCCACAUUCUGGAUGAAGGAACUUCCUCCAACUUAACCAACCUCACUAAACUUACCAUCUACUAUUUUGACAUCGGUAAGCUGUGUGGCUUGCACCGAUUGUACUCUCUCAGAGAACUCUCCCUUGAGAAUUGUGAUGGGGUGAGCUUUCCAGAAGAUGGGAUGUUGUCGUUUCCCUCCUCUCUGGUCGUUCUGGACAUCCAGAGCUUCCCAAAUCUGGAGAAGCUAUCUUUCAAGGACUUGGAAAUUCUAGUCUCUCUUGAACGACUUGAAAUCAGAAACUGCCCCAAGCUCACGUCCAUUUCAGAGCUAAGACUGCCUCCCUCGCUUUCGAAAUUGUACAUCGGUUGCUGCCCCAAGCUCGCAUCGUUUCCGGAGCAAGGGCUGCCUCCCUCGCUUUUGUGUUUGCGGAUCAUAGAAUGUCCGAUACUGAAUCGACAAUGUGAAAAGAGGAAAGGCCAAUAUUGGCGCUUCAUUGCACACAUUCCUGAAGUCAUGAUUGACGAAAGAUUCGUGUGUGACCCAAGCAGCUAAUGGCCCAGAUGGACUCAGAACAGAGAGUCAGCCUUGUUCUUAUGACAGCACUGGAAUGCGCAAUAUCUUUCUUGUUGGGUGCUGUCACUUCAGAGGUUCCCAGCUAGAUACCUAUGCAAAUUCCAGAACCACCUUAGAGGCAAGAAAGGAUGUUGGGAAGUCUCUUAUCAAGGCGUCUUUAUUCCGGUGCAGUCAUGGGUUUCCUUCUUGCUGCAAAUGGCCUUUGGUUUUGCACAUAUGUAGUACGGCGAUGAUUGGAAGCGCGCACCAAGUGUCAAUAACAGCUAUUUCUUGUACAGAUUGUUCAAUUUUAUUGUGAGAUUUGAAAAGAGUGGGUGAAUUUCCAUUGGAGAGGAGUUUUCACUCCGAAAAAGGCAAGAGUAUGUGUGGUGUUAUUGUAUAUAAGAUCAUGGCUGCACUUAGGAGGGGGUUAUUCUUUAAGCCCGGUGGUGAUCUCACCUUCGAAAGGAAGUCCUCUUUGUCUGUAACUGGUUUCAGCCUUGAUGGGUUUUCUAUGGUCCUGUUUUUGGCAGAGGAAGUGGAGGUAUUCAUGGAAAAGCUGCUGAUGUUGGUGCCAAUAUUACAGACAAGGUCGAGUAGAACAUCUCCGAGGAGGAUCCUAGAAUCGAGCGGUGAUAGCUGACAAUGAUCGUGAUAUUGCUGGUAUGGGAUAUGAUCUAUUCGUAUCCUCACGCAAAAUCAACAUGUGCUGCUCUUGUUUUUGGCUCCAUCGCCUCAUUUGGAAUCAACUAUUACUGCAAUGCACUAUCUUUGCUCAUUAGCUUUUCAGGUAUCCUUGUUUGUUUGCGCAUCCCAUGAGUGCGUCUAAGUGUUUGUAUACAUGUGUGGGGCAUGUGGGUCCACCUCUUGUGCUAGUGUAGGUGCUUGUGUAUGCAUGUGUGUAUUAUUUUGACGAUUUGUGUUUGAGUGAGAUGCUAUUCGUACCCAAAAACUCAGAAAAUGAGUGUGUAAGCGUGUCUGCAAAAUGAGUAUCACUGGCAUUGUCAAUUC